rnacentral:rRNA from 1 species
GAAAGCCUGACGGAGCAAUACCGCGUGAGGGAGGAAGGCUCUUGGGUUGUAAACCUCUUUUCUCAGGGAAGAACAAAAUGACGGUACCUGAGGAAUAAGCAUCGGCUAACUCCGUGCCAGCAGCCGCGGUAAUACGGAGGAUGCAAGCGUUAUCCGGAAUGAUUGGGCGUAAAGCGUCCGCAGGUGGCWWMUCAAGUCUGCUGUUAAAGGUUGGGGCUCAACCCCGAACRRGCAGUGGAAACUGGGUAGCUAGAGUGCGRUAGGGGYAGAGGGAAUUCCCAGUGUAGCGGUGAAAUGCGUAGAGAUUGGGAAGAACACCGGUGGCGAAA